GAGCUUCCGCUUCCGGAAAGGAUCACGCCGAAGGCCGCACUUCAUAGUCUCCGACGCACCUCCAAACCCUUUCUCCUGCUCUAGGCCCAGCGCCUUGGACGUGCACAGUAGAUCCCUCCCGGCUUCCCGGCUUCCCGUCUCGUCACCCUCUGCUCAGAACCUGAGGACGCAGCCAUGGAGCGGUCGGCCUUCAUGGAGCUGGAUGCUGGGAGCAGGCUGGUGAUGCAUCUCCGCGAGUGGCCAGCCCUGCUGGUCAGCAGCACGGGCUGGACAGGUCUGCACGACCCCUGGAACACUUGGGAGUUUGAACAACUUACUCUUGAUGGACACAACCUUCCUUCUCUUGUCUGUGUGAUAACAGGGUCGGUGGACCUGGGUGUCUGUCUGCACAUGUCCUCCAGUGGCCUGGACCUGCCCAUGAAGGUGGUGGACAUGUUCGGGUGCUGUUUGCCUGUGUGUGCCGUGAACUUCAAGUGUUUACAUGAGCUGGUGAAACAUGAAGAAAAUGGCCUGGUCUUUGAGGACUCAGAGGAACUGGCAGCUCUGCAGAUGCUUUUCUCAAACUUUCCUGAUCCUGCAGGCAAGCUAAACCAGUUUUGGAAGAACCUGCGGGAGUCGCAGCAGCUCCGAUGGGAUGAGAGCUGGGUGCAGACUGUGCUCCCUUUGGUUAUGGACAUACAACUCCUGGGCCAGAGGCUAAAACCCCGGGACCCCUGCUGUCCUUCCCGCAGCUUCUUCUCGGAGUCUCAGGGCAAACCCUUUUGAGCAGCGCCUCCCAGUGGCCAGAAGCUGAAAUGACGGCAGUGGUGCCGCCUGGUGAAUGAAUUGGUUCUGUGACCCGGGAAGCUGUGCUUGGCUCUGAUUUCUUUUCCGGAGGCUCGGAAACACUUCCUCUCUUCUUCUGUUCUUCAUGCCCCAUGCCCCUGCUAGCGUAUUACUGUUCUGUGACUUCCCUGUGACCUCUGCAGUACUCCUUAUCCUGCGUUUGGUCUCCAGGUGUCACCUUUCUGCCGUGUUCCUAACAUUUUGAUUCCUGUCUUGAAAAAAGCACCUGCUGCAUCGUAAGCCCAGGGAUGUGGCAGCUGCAGCGGGCUUGGCUUUGUGAAGAACUGAGUGUGUCCGCGGAUGUGGCAGCUGCAGCAGUCUUGGCUUUGUGAGGAACCAAGUGUGUCCAGGGAUGUGGCAGCUGCAGCAGGCUUGGCUUUGUGAGGAACCGAGUGUGUCCACAUACUUGAUACACACGUUUUUAUUUGCACAAAGAAAAUGCUAUUUUUGGAGCCA
rnacentral:lncRNA from 1 species